AGAGUUUGAUUCUGGCUCAGGAUGAACGCUAGCUACAGGCUUAACACAUGCAAGUCGAGGGGCAGCAUUGGAGUAGCGAUACUCAGAUGGCGACCGGCGCACGGGUGAGUAACACGUAUCCCAACCUGCCGCUUACGUCGGGGAUAGCCUUUACGAAAGAAAGAUUAAUACCCGAUGGUAUAAAGAGUUCGCAUGUUCUCUUUAAUUAAAGAAUUUCGGUAAGCGAGUGGGAUGCGUUCCAUUAGAUAGUUGGCGGGGUAACGGCCCACCAAGUCUACGAUGGAGUAGGGGUUCUGAGAGGAACGGUCCCCCACAUUGGAACUGAGACACGGUACCAAACUCCGUACGGGAGGCAGCAGUGAGGAAUAUUGGUCAAUGGACGAGAGUCUGAACCAGCCAAAAGUAGCGUGAAGGAUGACUGCCCUAUGGGUUGUAAACUUCUUUUAUAAGGGAAUAAAGUGAGGGACGUGUCCCUUUUUGUAUGUACCUUAUGAAUAAGGAUCGGCUAACUCCGUGCCAGCCGCCGC
rnacentral:rRNA from 1 species